CCAAUAGCGUAUAUUAAAGUUGUUGCAGUUAAAAAGCUCGUAGUUGAAUUUCGGGAUCGACGGGUCGGUCGCGCCUCUGGUGUGUACUGGCCCUGUCGGUUUCUCCCUUCUGACGAACCACGAUGUCAUUAAUUUGAUGUCGUGGGAAAUCAGGACUGUUACUUUGAAAAAAUUAGAGUGUUUAAAGCAGGCAUUCGCUUGAAUACAUUAGCAUGGAAUAAUGAAAUAGGACGUUUGAUCUUAUUUUGUUGGUUUCUAAGAUCGACGUAAUGAUUAAUAGGGAUAGUUGGGGGCAUUAGUAUUCAAUUGUCAGAGGUGAAAUUCUUGGAUUUAUUGAGGACUAACUACUGCGAAAGCAUUUGCCAAGGAUGUUUUCAUUAAUCAAGAACGAAAGUUAGGGGAUCGAAGACGAUCAGAUACCGUCGUAGUCUUAACCAUAAACUAUGCCGACUAGGGAUCGGAUGAUGUUAAUUUUUUAAUGACUCAUUCGGCGCCUUACG
rnacentral:rRNA from 1 species